rnacentral:rRNA from 1 species
CCUACGGGUGGCAGCAGUCGAGAAUCAUUCACAAUGGGGGAAACCCUGAUGCUGCGACGCCGCGUGGGGGAAUGAAGCUCUUCGGAUGUUAAACCCCUGUCAUGUGGGAGCACAGUAAAAAGUUCGUACUACAUGAGGAAGAGCUGGCUACCUACGUGCCAUCAGCCGCGGUAAUACAGAGGUCUCAUGCGGUGUUCGGAAUCACUGGGCGUAAAGGGUGCGUAGGCUGGUUGGUAAGUCGUGUGUGAACGGGGCGGGCUCAACCCGCGGACGGCAUAUGAUACUGCUGGACUAGAGUAAAGGAGAGGGAAGCGGAAUUCUCGGUGUAGCAGUGAAAUGCGUAGAUAUCGGGAGGAACACUCGUGGCGAAGGCGGGUUCCUGGACAUUAACUGACGGUGAGGCACGAAGGCCAGGGGAGCGAAAGGGAUUAGAUACCCGAGUAGUC